rnacentral:lncRNA from 1 species
ACUUACCUCGAUCGUCCGGGACCUUUUAAUCUUCCUUAAAAGAAUCGGACAGUCCUAUUUAAAAUAUUAAAUCAUCAAUAAAUUUUAUUUCAUAUAUUUAAUAAAAUUAUAAUAUAAAGAAAUGACCGAUUUGGUGAUCAGUCCACUGAAUCUCUUCCUUCGGCUCUAAACCGAUCUAAGGUCAUAGGUCCCCAGAUCCCU